rnacentral:rRNA from 1 species
GACGAACCGAGCAAACGUUAUUCGGAAUCACUGGGCUUAAAGGGCGCGUAGGCGGGCAUCCAAGUCUGUGGUGAAAUCCGGCAGCUUAACUGUCGAACUGCCGUGGAUACUGGGUGUCUCGAGGGAGGUAGGGGCGUGCGGAACUAUUGGUGGAGCGGUGAAAUGCGUUGAUAUCAAUAGGAACUCCGGUGGCGAAGGCGGCACGCUGGACCUCUUCUGACGCUGAGGCGCGAAAGCCAGGGGAGCGAACGGG